rnacentral:tRNA from 1 species
GCCUGGGUGGCUUAGUUGGUUAAGUGUCCGACUUCGGCUCAGGUCAUGAUCUCGCGUCGCGGUUCGUGGGUUUGAGCCCCACGUCAGGCU